rnacentral:rRNA from 1 species
AGAUUGAACGCUGGCGGCAUGCCUAACACAUGCAAGUCGAACGGGAGUAGCAAUACUCUAGUGGCGGACGGGUGAGGAAUACGUAGGAAUUUGCCCUUAAGUGGGGGAUAACCCGGGGAAACCCGGAUUAAUACCGCAUGACCUCGAAAGAGCAAAGUGGGGGAUCGCAAGACCUCACGCUUUUGGAGAAGCCUACGUCGGAUUAGCUAGUUGGUGAGGUAAUGGCUCACCAAGGCGACGAUCCGUAACUGGUCUGAGAGGAUGAUCAGUCACACCGGAACUGAGACACGGU